GCUGAGCUCUCCGUUUCGGCUUGAAGGCCUCGCCCGAGCCCUGUCACCGGCUCUGCCUGUCAGGAGGGCCCAAGUGUGCAGCGUCGGUGGGGCUGCCUGACACUGACCUCUGGGGUUGUAAAGGUCCCAGAGGGUCCUAAGUCGGGCCUGAUGUGGCUGAGAUGGCAAGAGCCGGAACGUUUCUGUAAAAUCUGAAAGCCCUUGAUGAGGCCGAGGGGGUGAGGAUUCCCACCCUGUGUGGACAGGAGCACGCAGCAGCGGAGUGACUCCCCCACAGUGUACACCUCUUGUACAAGGUAGAACAUCUUGCGCAUAACAGAAGGCCCGUCUGUCUGUCCCACUUUCCAAGGACAUCUUCCUUUUAAGCAGUGACUCGGGAAUCGAGGCCACUUCCAUCCUGUAACGACGCCAUCUGGAGCAUGUGGCUUCCAGGGGAGCAGUGGCUGAGGCCCUGCAGUGGCUUCUCACUGCUACAGUCCAGAGUUGCACACAGCACUUCUGCUCAUAGUCCAUCAGCCAGGAGCUAGUCAUGUGGCCACCUCGCUGCA
rnacentral:sRNA from 1 species